UGGGGAAUAUUGGACAAUGGGCGCAAGCCUGAUCCAGCCAUGCCGCGUGAGUGAUGAAGGCCCUAGUGUUGUAAAGCUCUUUCACCGGUGAAGAUAAUGACGGUAACCGGAGAAGAAGCCCCGGCUAACUUCGUGCCAGCAGCCGCGGUAAUACGAAGGGGGCUAGCGUUGUUCGGAUUUACUGGGCGUAAAGCGCACGUAGGCGGACUUUUAAGUCAGGGGUGAAAUCCCGGGGCUCAACCCCGGAACUGCCUUUGAUACUGGAAGUCUUGAGUAUGGUAGAGGUGAGUGGAAAUCCGAGUGUAGAGGUGAAAGUCGUAGAUAUUAGGAGGAACUCCAGUGGAGAAGGCGGCCCACUGGACCAAUACUGGCGCUGAGGUGCGAAAGCGUGGGGAGCAAACAGG
rnacentral:rRNA from 1 species